AUUGAACGCUGGCGGCAUGCUUUACACAUGCAAGUCGAACGGUAGCAGGGAGCUUGCUCCGCUGACGAGUGGCGAACGGGUGAGUAAUGCGUCGGAACGUGCCGAGUAGUGGGGGAUAACGCAUCGAAAGGUGUGCUAAUACCGCAUACGUACUGAGGUAGAAAGUGGGGGACCUUCGGGCCUCACGCUAUUCGAGCGGCCGACGUCUGAUUAGCGAGUUGGUGAGGUAAAGGGUCACCAAGGCGACGAUCAGUAGCGGGGCUGAGAGGAUGAGCCGCCACACUGGGACUAAGACAGGGCCCAGACUCCUACGGGAGGCAGCAGUGGGGAAUUGUGGACAAUGGGCGCAAGCCUGAUCCAGCCAUGCCGCGUGUCUGAAGAAGGCCUUCGGGUUGUAAAGGACUUUUGUCCGGGAGCAAAUGCUGGUGGCUAACAUCCACCGGAGCUGAGAGUACCGGAAGAAUAAGCACCGGCUAACUACGUGCCAGCCGCCGCAGUAAAAC
rnacentral:rRNA from 1 species